UCCGGUUUGUCACCGGCAGUCCCAUUAGAGUGCUCAACUGAAUGUAGCAACUAAUGGCAAGGGUUGCGCUCGUUGCGGGACUUAACCCAACAUCUCAUGACACGAGCUGACGACAGCCAUGCAGCACCUGUGCACUGUCCAGCCGAACUGAAAGUCCUAUCUCUGGGACCGACGACAGGCAUGUCAAGGCCUGGUAAGGUUUUUCGCGUUGCGUCGAAUUAAACCACAUGCUCCACCGCUUGUGCGGGCCCCCGUCAAUUCCUUUGAGUUUCAACCUUGCGGCCGUACUCCCCAGGCGGUGCACUUCUCGCGUUAGCUACGCCACCGAGAUCUAUGAUCCCGACGGCAAGUGCACAUCGUUUACGGCGUGGACUAC
rnacentral:misc_RNA from 1 species